rnacentral:lncRNA from 1 species
UCACCCACGGCAGAAUAACAAAUAAGGAUAUAAGCCAGUCAUCAAUAUCACUUAUUGACUAAUCCAUGAUCUUCGCAUUCUUGGUUAGCGGGUGAUUGGCAGCAGUACUCCAAAUUUAAGAACACUGCUUCAGUUUUUAAAAGUUGAUGACUCCUGUUACGUCAUACCCAUGCAAAUAUACGAUACGACUAAUGACUAAAACAUAUCAGUUACGUAGAAUUAACCAUAUAACUUAGUAUCUUUACCUUAAAAUAAAAUAAAAUAAAAAAAAAACUUAGGAAAGCAUGGAUGGCCUCAAA